rnacentral:lncRNA from 1 species
AUAGAAUACAACAUGGAAAUAGUUUGGUGGCAUCUUUCCUCCCAAAUUGAAGGACCUCUCAAUAAAUCAAUGGCAACACUACUGAGAAGGAUGUAGAACUAUAUACGAAGCGGCAUGCAUGCUCAAUACUGGAAUUCAAAAUGAACAAAUUAAUAUAUUUCAAAUGAGAAGUUUAAUCUAUCUCUGAAUUUGAUAACCAGAAAACACAUUGCACUUGUGCUUACCAUGAGAUCCAUACUUCUUCCAAUUUGUAUCAACAAAUAGAUCAACAUGGGUGCAUAAUAAACUUAGUAAUUAACACCAAGCAACCUAGGCUUAAUUCACA